GACGAACGCUGGCGGCGUGCUUAACACAUGCAAGUCGAACGGAAAGGCCCUGCUUUUGUGGGGUGCUCGAGUGGCGAACGGGUGAGUAACACGUGAGUAACCUGCCCUUGACUUUGGGAUAACUUCAGGAAACUGGGGCUAAUACCGGAUAGGAGCUCCUGCUGCAUGGUGGGGGUUGGAAAGUUUCGGCGGUUGGGGAUGGACUCGCGGCUUAUCAGCUUGUUGGUGGGGUAGUGGCUUACCAAGGCUUUGACGGGUAGCCGGCCUGAGAGGGUGACCGGCCACAUUGGGACUGAGAUACGGCCCAGACUCCUACGGGAGGCAGCAGUGGGGAAUAUUGCCCAAUGGGGGGAAGCCUGAUGCAGCAACGCCGCGUGCGGGAUGACGGCCUUCGGGUUGUGAACCGCUUUCGCCUGUGACGAAGCGUGAGUGACGGUAAUGGGUAAAGAAGCACCGGCUAACUACGUG
rnacentral:rRNA from 1 species